AGUGGCGAACGGGUGAGUAAUACGUGAGUAACCUGCCCUUGACUCUGGGAUAAGCCUGGGAAACUGGGUCUAAUACUGGAUACUACCUCUUGCCGCAUGGCGGGUGGUGGAAAGGGGUUUUACUGGGUUUUGGAUGGGCUCACGGCCUAUCAGCUUGUUGGUGGGGGUAAUGGCUCACCAAGGCGACGACGGGUAGCCGGCCUGAGAGGGUGACCGGCCACACUGGGACUGAGACACGGCCCAGACUCCUACGGGAGGCAGCAGGC
rnacentral:rRNA from 1 species